rnacentral:rRNA from 1 species
GGAAUAUUGGACAAUGGGCGCAAGCCUGAUCCAGCCAUGCCGCGUGGAUGAUGAAGGCCUUAGGGUUGUAAAGUCCUUUUAGCGGGGAAGAUAAUGACGGUACCCGCAGAAAAAGCCCCGGCUAACUUCGUGCCAGCAGCCGCGGUAAUACGAAGGGGGCUAGCGUUGCUCGGAAUUACUGGGCGUAAAGCGCACGUAGGCGGCUUGUUAAGUCGGGGGUGAAAUCCUGGAGCUCAACUCCAGAACUGCCUUCAAUACUGGCGAGCUUGAGUUCGGGAGAGGUGAGUGGAACUGCGAGUGUAGAGGUGAAAUUCGUAGAUAUUCGCAAGAACACCAGUGGCGAAGGCGGCUCACUGGCCCGAUACUGACGCUGAGGUGCGAAAGCGUGGGGAGCAAA